AGACAGUCUCGCUCUGUGGCCCAGACUGGAGCUAUCUCGGUUCACUGCAACCUCCACCUCUCGGGUUCAAGAGAUUACCCUGCCUCAGCCUCCCGAGUGGCUGGGAUUACAGGCGCCCACCACCACGCCCCUGGCUAAUUUCUGUAUUUUUAAUAGAGAUGGGGUUUUACCAUGUUGGCCAGGCUGGUUUUGAAUUCCUGACCUCAGGUGAUCCAGCUGCCUCCGCCUCCCAAACUGUUUGGGAUUACAGGCGUGAGCCACUGCGCCUGGCCAAUCCCCACCUUCUUGACUGACCAUUUAAAAAAUGUAAGAAACACCUUUAGCUCAUCAUGAGCAGCACAAAACAGGCAGGGACAGGAUUUGGCCCUGAGGCAGGAGAAUAGGUCUGGAGGCAGGGAACAUAAGGCCAAAUCAAAUGGAAACAAUUCAGCUAUGACAGGAAAUAUCUUCUCCAUUUAAAGAGGGCAUACAUCCAGUAAAUGACUUUGUAACUUUACUUCAUCCUCUUCAUUUACAUAGGACGUACAUUAAGUAACCAGUGAAAACCUCUAGAGGGCAUUUAAACCCCAGAAAAUUCUUAAACAGGUCUCUUGAGUCCGUAUGCUCCACUGGCUCCCACCCUGCGGAGUGUACUUUCGUUUUCAAUAAAUC
rnacentral:lncRNA from 1 species